CCCUGCCCUAGAGGCUUUGUAAAUUUAACUGUUGUGUCACAUGGGCAUCAGUAGGUGGCGGAGGCAAGAGAUGCCAUGUCUAUGCUCAGUGUUCUGGCCUGUGAACAUGGAGUGAUUAGUAGCCUAACACU